AAAUUUUCUCAAAGUUUAUGUUUAAAAAUAUUCAAUUCAAUGUCAAAUUAUCCAUAAAAAAAAGAUUUAAAUAAAAUUAAAUUGACGCCACCAAUUUCACAUAGGUCAAACUCCUACAAGCUACUCAGCCGACCAAUAUGUAGCCUCACGCAGUAUUAAAAUUCUCCACAACUUUAAAAGAAGAAAGCACCUUUCAUGUCACCGAAGGCGAGAAUAUGCUAAAGUGCUUAAUGCUAUAAGCUCAGAAACCACAAACGGCAUAUUCGUGGAAUAGCACUUAUAAAAGUUUCAGCAGAGCAAAAUGCAUUUCAAUAUAUAUUCACAGAAAAUUGGCGAAUCGCGAAGGAGAAGAAAGCACUAAAAGAGACUAUAGCAUUUGCAUAUGUAAUAUAACUUAUACUAGAUAGUAGUACUACAGUGUACGAGAAUUAGUUGUGGGCUUAUGCAAAGCUGGUCAACAUUUCCAGUCAAUAGUC
rnacentral:lncRNA from 1 species